rnacentral:rRNA from 1 species
AAAUUGAAGAGUUUGAUCAUGGCUCAGAUUGAACGCUGGCGGCAGGCCUAACACAUGCAAGUCGAGCGGUAGCACAGAGAGCUUGCUCUCGGAUGACGAGCGGCGGACGGGUGAGUAAUGUCUGGGAAACUGCCUGAUGGAGGGGGAUAACUACUGGAAACGGUAGCUAAUACCGCAUAAUGUCGCAAGACCAAAGUGGGGGACCUUCGGGCCUCAUGCCAUCAGAUGUGCCCAGAUGGGAUUAGCUAGUAGGUGGGGUAAUGGCUCACCUAGGCGACGAUCCCUAGCUGGUCUGAGAGGAUGACCAGCCACACUGGAACUGAGACACGGUCCAGACUCCUACGGGAGGCAGCAGUGGGGAAUAUUGCACAAUGGGCGCAAGCCUGAUGCAGCCAUGCCGCGUGUGUGAAGAAGGCCUUCGGGUUGUAAAGCACUUUCAGCGGGGAGGAAGGCGAUAAGGUUAAUAACCUUGUCGAUUGACGUUACCCGCAGAAGAAGCACCGGCUAACUCCGUGCCAGCAGCCGCGGUAAUACGGAGGGUGCAAGCGUUAAUCGGAAUUACUGGGCGUAAAGCGCACGCAGGCGGUCUGUCAAGUCGGAUGUGAAAUCCCCGGGCUCAACCUGGGAACUGCAUUCGAAACUGGCAGGCUAGAGUCUUGUAGAGGGGGGUAGAAUUCCAGGUGUAGCGGUGAAAUGCGUAGAGAUCUGGAGGAAUACCGGUGGCGAAGGCGGCCCCCUGGACAAAGACUGACGCUCAGGUGCGAAAGCGUGGGGAGCAAACAGGAUUAGAUACCCUGGUAGUCCACGCCGUAAACGAUGUCGAUUUGGAGGUUGUGCCCUUGAGGCGUGGCUUCCGGAGCUAACGCGUUAAAUCGACCGCCUGGGGAGUACGGCCGCAAGGUUAAAACUCAAAUGAAUUGACGGGGGCCCGCACAAGCGGUGGAGCAUGUGGUUUAAUUCGAUGCAACGCGAAGAACCUUACCUGGUCUUGACAUCCACAGAACUUUCCAGAGAUGGAUUGGUGCCUUCGGGAACUGUGAGACAGGUGCUGCAUGGCUGUCGUCAGCUCGUGUUGUGAAAUGUUGGGUUAAGUCCCGCAACGAGCGCAACCCUUAUCCUUUGUUGCCAGCGGUUAGGCCGGGAACUCAAAGGAGACUGCCAGUGAUAAACUGGAGGAAGGUGGGGAUGACGUCAAGUCAUCAUGGCCCUUACGACCAGGGCUACACACGUGCUACAAUGGCAUAUACAAAGAGAAGCGACCUCGCGAGAGCAAGCGGACCUCAUAAAGUAUGUCGUAGUCCGGAUUGGAGUCUGCAACUCGACUCCAUGAAGUCGGAAUCGCUAGUAAUCGUAGAUCAGAAUGCUACGGUGAAUACGUUCCCGGGCCUUGUACACACCGCCCGUCACACCAUGGGAGUGGGUUGCAAAAGAAGUAGGUAGCUUAACCUUCGGGAGGGCGCUUACCACUUUGUGAUUCAUGACUGGGGUGAAGUCGUAACAAGGUAACCGUAGGGGAACCUGCGGUUGGAUCACCUCCUUA